GAAUUCUCGAUGCCAGGCUGCCCAAGGCCACAGUGAGCAUCAGAUAAGGGAGAACUAUUCCUUUGUUCUGAAAAGACUUCAUGACUCAGGGCUGAGCUCAAUCUAAAUGACAUGCAGCGUUAAUUUCAUUUUCUACUUACUAUGUAGUCUAGGGUUCCUCCUGUUUCUCUGCCAUCUAGAGAUCAAUUCAUUUUUAUCAAUAUUUGGGAAAAUCAGUGACAUAAAUCAGCUCCAGCAUCAAACUUCAGCUGCUACAGAGAAGGCCAGGUGUAUGGAGCAAACAAAGCCUGCAGCCUGGGAGAUUAGGAACCGCUCCUAACAAUGGACUUAAUAACAUCACAUUCAUCACCUGAUUGGAUUCUUCCAACAUGAAGCUCACAGAAGUUGAGAAAACACACCUUGAGAAGGGAAGGGAGCCAAGGUCACAUAGCAAGCAAGAAGCGCUGCCAGGCCUCUGACCCUGGGCUCUACCUUCAAAGGUCUAAGAUUAAGGUGCCCACAAGAAGCCCCUGCCAGUGUGUGGGGGAGUAUCCAGACCUCACCUGUUGUCCAGGAUGGG
rnacentral:antisense_RNA from 1 species